UACGGAGGGAGCUAGCGUUGUUCGGAAUUACUGGGCGUAAAGCGCACGUAGGCGGCUUUGUAAGUUAGGGGUGAAAGCCUGGAGCUCAACUUCAGAAUUGCCCUUAAGACUGCAUCGCUUGAAUCCAGGAGAGGUGAGUGGAAUUCCGAGUGUAGAGGUGAAAUUCGUAGAUAUUCGGAAGAACACCAGUGGCGAAGGCGGCUCACUGGACUGGUAUUGACGCUGAGGCGCGAAAGCGUGGGGAGCAAACAGG
rnacentral:rRNA from 1 species